GUAGUCCACGCCCUAAACGAUGUCUACUAGUUGUCGGGUUUUAAUUAACUUGGUAACGCAGCUAACGCGUGAAGUAGACCGCCUGGGGAGUACGGUCGCAAGAUUAAAACUCAAAGGAAUUGACGGGGACCCGCACAAGCGGUGGAUGAUGUGGAUUAAUUCGAUGCAACGCGAAAAACCUUACCUACCCUUGACAUGGAAGGAAUCCUGGAGAGAUCCGGGAGUGCCCGAAAGGGAGCCUUCACACAGGUGCUGCAUGGCUGUCGUCAGCUCGUGUCGUGAGAUGUUGGGUUAAGUCCCGCAACGAGCGCAACCCUUGUCAUUAGUUGCUACGCAAGAGCACUCUAAUGAGACUGCCAGUGAUAUACUGGA
rnacentral:rRNA from 1 species